CAUAUACUCCCUUCGUCCCAAAAUUCUUGUCUUAGAUUUGUCUAAGUACGAAUGUAUCGGGUCAUGUUUUAGUAUUAGAUACGUCCAUAUCUAGACGAACCUAAGACACGAAUUUUGGGACGGAGGUAGUAUUUU
rfam:Triticum aestivum genome assembly, contig: Triticum_aestivum_CS42_TGACv1_scaffold_178120_2DS